CGGCUUUAUUUAUGGUUUUUAGUCGCCGCGAGAAAGAGAGAGGGGAGGGGACAGAGAGAGCAGAGCUCGCUCCUCCACAUAAAAUAAAAUCGUAUAUAAAAGGAGACCCCAACGGCGGACCGACCAGGCAGAGCGCGGCGAAUAAAACGGGACGGGAGUAUUGAAAGCUUUCCGCUCUCCGCCGCCGCCGCCUUCCUCCUCCUGCUGCUCCACGACGGCGCCGGAUCCCAAAGGAGGCUGGUUCGCUCUGCGCCUCCGCGGUGGAGGGAGGGCCCGCCCAGCGUCCUGGAGCAACCACGCUCGUUCCGCCUUAGAUGCCACUGGUGGGGAAGACUAAGGCCGUCGGUGCAGGGGUACGGCUGGUAGUGCGUGAUGCAGAACCUGGGGAAGGACCUCUGGCCGAGGGAAGGGUUGGAGGUCUUCGAACAAGGGUUCGGCGGAGGUCGCCGCGGCGAUGGGGGACUCUUCAGGAGGCUCUUCGGGUAUGGACACGGCCACCGAGGACGGUCCUGGUGGUGGAACGGUCGCGAGAUGAGGUGCGGGCUCUCGUGUGGCGACGGUCUGAGCGGCAGUAGCAAGGGACCUUGGACCAGCGGCAUAGAGUAGUUGGUAUUUGCAGCACCUGGACCGGACUAGUUCUGUAGAAGGGUCCCACUACAGCCUUCACUCCCAUCGGACGGCUUCAAAGGGCUCCCCGAUGGACGAAACGGCUUUUCCAGACUUCGGAAAGUUCACGUCCUCAGACUCAAAUCCAAGUGUGUUCUCUCACUACCACACCAAUUGUUACCACACCUCCUCUGGAACCUACUCGUCUUACUUCCCCACGUCUUUCCGUUCCACUGGGAAAAACCGGUUCUACUCGUCCUAGUCGGGCUCAAGCUCAAAGUCGUACUUUCAGGUCUACACAACUACUCUGGACAGUUACAACCUUCCGAACAGUUACAACGUUCCGAACAGUUGUUACCUUACGGUUCUUUACCGCUUUUACUACGGAAGAACCUUGGAGUCCUAAGUGUCUCACACUGAUCAUUGAGGCUCCGACUCCUACGACCACCCGUCCCCACCACCUUCGGGUCAAGAGGAAUACCCUGCAGACGACCGUGUGGACCACGUCUUAAAAUACUGCGUAAGCUUCUUUAUAGUUCGCUACCACGUUGAGCUAGAAGAGCUACACAACUACUACUCAUGGCACUUUACUCCAAUUCGUACAACUGUCUUUAACUCCCAUCCUUUGUUCGACUCCUCCAUCGACUCUGGACCGUUUUCCUUACCUUUUUCGACUCAGUAGUGGAUAGCGACUAGCGGAACAGUGAAGGUAGAGGUUGACAUCGACUCUUGCUACUACUAUGUUCACGCCUAGGACCUCGGCUCAACACGGUUGUUUAUUGACAAAGUGUUGACCAUCGGCGACGAUAACGGUCCCCUUAACGAGCACAUCUUCAACUUAGUCUCUACCUUUCACAUUAAAGUCGUUUCUUGAAACUCUAGCGUUCCGAUAGUCUAUCCCAGGUCAUGAUACUUCGUCGUUUGUCCCUCUACAGAGUUUCUUUGGUUCUUCGAUAGCUCUACAGGUCCGUUGUCGCCUUGUUCGCAUUCUACUCCGUCUUCACCAAGACCCCAAGUCAACCGUAUCGUCAAUGGGAACCGUGUCGUCGGUAACGGACCAGGAUGUACGGGCGUUCGGUCAGGGUCCGUCCCCUGAGCUUAUCGUGGUUGUGGUUGUCGCUAAUCUCGAUCGACUUCUACGUAGAAGAGGUACGUCUCCAGGAUUGCUUUCGAGAUUGAUAUGAAGGAUCUCUCUUUUCUUCGAACAUAUUCAAAAGAGAAAACCACUAGCCGACACUAGUGAUGUUAGGAGUAAACGGCGAAGGAGACAUUUUUUUUUACACCUUACCCGGUAGAGGCAGGUCCUAACCGAGCCGAGGGGGAAUGGCAUUCAGGGAGCAACGUAUCAACCAACUCGUUUUAUUAUGCUCCUUACACCUAUACUCAUCAUUAGCAGGUACCACUUGAGUUUACCUCAACUAAAACUGUCAACGUCAAAACUAGACCCAGAACAAAUGAGCUCGUUCUAAAGUAACGGCACUUCAAAGACAUCCAAACUAAUAUACGGACAAUAAAAUGCAAAGACACAAAGAGUCAACGAACCUCGAAGGUAAAACAACCACCGUGAUGGCGAGAAUGUCGAGAGAGAAGAAAAAAUACCCAUCAGACCGGUCGUUUCUCUCUCUCCUCUCCCGCUAAGGUCGGAAUGACACGGGAAAUGGAUCGGUUACCAUGAGGUGGGCUUUCUGCAACAAAAGAUGAGGAAGCCGAGAAAUAAGUUGGUUGGAGAAAUUUGAGUCGUCGGCUGUAUCGAACGGG
rnacentral:rRNA from 1 species